UGCCUUUAGGACUAGUAAUAACCAGAACAUGUCCAUUGGUAUAGUAACUUUUUAAAAUCCUUCGAAGUGAAAUUCCCAUCCCAGCUUUUGGAAUCAGCAAAUGCACUUGUAAAAUACUUUAACCAAGUUGACACAAACAAACAUCCUUCCUUGGUCAUCUCCAAUGAAAUCCUGCCAUCUGGUAAUGUAACCUCUAAUAAAAACUUCUCUUUGUUACUAAUAAGAUAUUCCCCUACAGUCACUCUGAAAUAUAUACAAUGUGACUAUCGAUCAACAAAGCUAUAAAAUAAUGGAGUUGGAAAAACACACGAAAGGACUGAAAAAAUAAUAUUUUGAACUCACAUUCCUCCAAGUAGCCUGGUACAGGAUAUGCACCGUAGUGUCCCGUUCUACCCCAUAAAAUAGAAAGGUAUGAUCAGGUUCAAGUGUUUUCCUCCCAUAGACAAGAUACUGGCACUCAAGUUUCGUCUUCGUCUUUUGUGCGUACAGGUGCAUCAAAUGUUGUAAAGAUUGAUCCAGACUAACUGUUAAUGCCAACUCCCCAGAAACAUGCCUCACAAAAAUAGAUAUCACCGAUCUAUCAUCUUUAGU
rnacentral:lncRNA from 1 species